UGUGAAAGUGCAAACCUGCUCAUAAUAUGG
rnacentral:piRNA from 1 species